GAUGAGCGCUAGCUACAGGCUUAACACAUGCAAGUCGAGGGGCAGCAUGGUCUUAGCUUGCUAAGGCCGAUGGCGACCGGCGCACGGGUGAGUAACACGUAUCCAACCUGCCGUCUACUCUUGGACAGCCUUCUGAAAGGAAGAUUAAUACAAGAUGGCAUCAUGAGUUCACAUGUUCACAUGAUUAAAGGUAUUCCGGUAGACGAUGGGGAUGCGUUCCAUUAGAUAGUAGGCGGGGUAACGGCCCACCUAGUCUUCGAUGGAUAGGGGUUCUGAGAGGAAGGUCCCCCACAUUGGAACUGAGACACGGUCCAAACUCCUACGGGAGGCAGCAGUGAGGAAUAUUGGUCAAUGGGCGAGAGCCUGAACCAGCCAAGUAGCGUGAAGGAUGACUGCCCUAUGGGUUGUAAACUUCUUUUAUAAAGGAAUAAAGUCGGGUAUGUAUACCCGUUUGCAUGUACUUUAUGAAUAAGGAUCGGCUAACUCCGUG
rnacentral:rRNA from 1 species